AUACGUAGGUGACAAGCGUUAUCCGGAUUUACUGGGCGUAAAGGGCGUGUAGGCGGUCUUGCAAGUCAGAAGUGAAAUUCCUGAGCUCAACUCGGGCGCUGCUUCUGAAACUGCAGGACUUGAGUGCUGGAGGGGAUAGCGGAAUUCCUAGUGGAGCGGUAAAAUGCGCAGAUAUUAGGAAGAACACCGGUGGCGAAGGCGGCGAUCUGGACAGUAACUGACGCUGAGGCGCUAAAGCGUGGGGAGCAAACAGGAUUAGAUUCCCUGGUAGUCCACGCCGUAAACGAUGAAUACUAGGUGUAGGGGGUAUCGACUCCCUCUGUGCCGCAGUUAACACAAUAAGUAUUCCGCCUGGGGAGUACGGCCGCAAGGUUGAAACUCAAAUGAAUUGACGGGG
rnacentral:rRNA from 1 species